CCUACGGGAGGCAGCAGUGGGGAAUAUUUGGCAAUGGGCGCAAGCCUGACCCAGCAACGCCGCGUGAAGGAAGAAGGCUUUCGGGUUGUAAACUUCUUUUGUCAGGGAAGAGUAGAAGACGGUACCUGACGAAUAAGCCACGGCUAACUACGUGCCAGCAGCCGCGGUCAUACGUAGGUGGCAAGCGUUGUCCGGAUUUACUGGGUGUAAGGGGCGUGUAGCCGGGUUGACAAGUCAGAUGUGAAAUCCUGCGGCUUAACCGCAGAACUGCAUUUGAAACUGUUGAUCUUGAGUACUGGAGAGGCAGACGGAAUUCCUGGUGUAGCGGUGAAAUGCGUAGAUAUUAGGAGGAACACCAGUGGCGAAGGCGGGCUGCUGGACUGCAACUGACGUUGAGGCCCGAAAGCGUGGGGAGCAAACAGGAUUAGAUACCCGAGUAGUC
rnacentral:rRNA from 1 species